UCCAGAAAUGGACCAGGCAGCAUAUCAGACCAAGUAGAAUCUCGGCUAGAGGUUUCUGUUUUGGAUGCCACGUGGACCAAUAGUAUCUUUUUCUCGCAGGUCAGACCAAAUCUUUCCUCCCCUUGUAACAUUAUAAUCUUGGAUUAAACAGAAUUACCCAUCGUUUUACUUACUUUUAAUGAACUCCUUUUCACUGGAUUUUGAUUAGUUCGAGUGCAUGACAAAAUGGUUCAUUUUUUAGAAUAAGAAAUGUAUUUUCGUUUAAAAAAGUUGAAUUAAUUUAUUGAUAAACAUUAAAAAAAAUUAAGUAGAAUAGAUGGGAUAACUAGUUAUAAGAUAAGUUAUAGAUUGAAACACAGCUUGUUUGUUUAUGCAAUGCAAUCAGAACCAUAAGAGUGUGAAAAUGGAUUCCUGCCAUAUAUCCCAACCUCUCUCUCUCUCUCUCUCUCUUUCUGUGAUCAGCCGACGUCUGAUCUGUGAUUUGAUUUUCACCGACCACUUGUUGGCGGGCCCCUACAAUUUGAUGAUUUGUUUGGGCGAUAAAACGCAACGCAUGUUUCUUGCUCAAUCCAAAUACUAACAAAACAUUCUCUGAUGAACACACUCUUUUUAAGAACAGGGCUCGGAGCAUGAUUAUUUCCCCAAAGUUAUUAACUAAGUAGUACUGUGAUUAGUUAACAAAUUCAGAAACUAUUUCUUUUCCUAAUUGAUUUCUGUUGAAUUUGAUCUGAUGGGUAUUGCUGUACACGCAGCACCUGUCCUUUGGUAAAAGCAGAUCAUAGAGGAAGAACAGGGGUUAGUUUUGGUCCAUCUAAUAACGUAAACUGAAGUGGAGAAAGGGACUCGUGUAGCUUCUCAUUUAAUUCUUUGUUUUGGAUGUGGAGCAAGUUUGAGACCCCACACGUCUCCCUCCUAGUAUAUGGUGUUAGAUUCUUCCCCUCUCAGAGUCCACCUCCUUGCUCUUCGGCCAAACAGGUAUGCCCUCUUAAUCAUUUUAGUUGAUGCUUUAUUUGUUUCCACUAUGUGCUUGUGCCCUCCUUCCAGCCAGUAGGAAUACAAAACAUUUUGAUCUCGUAAUUCAGAUUAUUAACGUAAUAUAAUUUAGAUGGUUUGUUUGGACCUACUCCGAAUUUCCCUUUUAAGAUUAGUCCCCUUCGGUUAUAUUUGACCGAAUAUAUAACUAUGUCAUGUGUCAUGAACGACACAUGGAACAAGGUAGAAACGAAAUGGAAUUUUAUGGACAUCACUCAAAAUUCUUUUUUUUUUUUUUAAUUUUUACAUAAAAUAAUAACAAAAACAAUAAAAUUGAAGAAAAUAGAAAAUUAUUGCACGUGGUGUAAUAAAAUUGGGAUUGAUAGGAUAUUUGUUUUUGGCAGUUUGUGUGUCUUAUCUCGUUCAAAUCUGGCUGGCUUCUCCAGCUGCUGCUCUUAUCUCUGUAAACUCAUGACAUGGGUUUGUUUCUCUUUUGAAUUAAGAACUAAGUUUUCAAAAAAAAAAAUAUAUAUUCGAGAGUCCAUCUGUGAAGAAGGUCGAAGAUGCAGAUUAAAAACUCCAUGAAUCGUUUUAUGUUUAUCGUUGACAAAUAAUUUAACUAAUUGAUUCUUUACUUCCUUUUCCAAAAGUUAAUUGCAUUUUAUUAGUGGCUUAGAAUGUCUUCACCCAUAUAUAUACAUAUAUAUAUAUGUAUGUAUCUAGUAUUUUCAAGAAGAAGAUGUCCCGUUAUCAUCAAAAUUAAUAGAAUAAACAAUAAAAAUCUCACCUGCUUGCCCCACACUUCUACACCUCCAAUUAUGGUCACAUAUUAAUGAGUCUAAAAUUCAAUCCUAACCAUAGUAUCGAAAUCCAUCUGCCACAUUAAUUAUAUACUUACAUAUAUGUGUGUGUAUGUAUAAGCUAGUUUUGUCCUCUAAUAAAAGGUAGAAGGAUACGAUGGAGUUUUGUGGAGAGAUCCUCUUGUUGCCACAGUUAUAGCCAACCAAACAUUCACCAAAUCUUUUCCCCAAAGCUAAUUUGGUUACCGUGUAAACAAAUAGAACCUGUAUAGAUUCACAUUUUCUCUUUGAUAUGAAAGUAAUUUGUCAACAAAAUGCCUGCUUUCAGGUGAGCGGAUCACGAAACUCAUGCCAACACUGAUUUCAAACUGCCCUUUUCCAACAGUUUCUCACGCCUCUCCGAUCAUUUCUCUUCACAGAAACUUGAGCCUACCAGAAUAUUAAACAAGUAACCAGCUGACAACGAUUUGCACCCGAAAAAGCUUUGAUAGGUUUGUGGUGUCAAUGAAAUUAAGUAUUAUCAUAAUUUCUCACCGUUCAAAUUAACUAUCACCAAAAUAUUACUUUAUGCUCCUAGAAGCAUAGAAGAAAUACUAUUUUAUGUUGGUAAGCAAUCAUAUAUUCUGAUACAAUUUAGGUGAAACUGAAAUUUUCUUUUAAAAAAAUUAUCAUCAUACCUUUUAGAAAUAUACACAAACAGUAUGUCCGAGUCCUAUUCUUUUUAGCUUAAAGUUUUAGUUAAAAUUUUCUUAGCCUUAGGUCCGAUUUGGAAGCCAGCACACCCACUUAUUCCCUGUAAGACCUGAAUAACAUCUCGUCCUUCUUCGGUGAAUUUUAGCCUGAAUAUGAAAAUAAUGUCAAAAGGAAGCAGAUGACAUCGCCAGUCUAAAAUAUAAAAGUUCUUUCUUUGUUAGAUUGGUCAAAACUAAGAACACAUUGAAGUACUGAAGACAAAUAUAAAAAAACCACCAUGACUUCUUGUACUCCAUGUGAGCUAGCUUAACCAGAAGGGUUUAUUUCUUAAAAAGCUACAGAUUUUUAUAUAACUGC
rnacentral:lncRNA from 1 species